rnacentral:lncRNA from 10 species
GCCAGACGCGGGGGCGGGGUAAGAAGUUGAGUGACAGGCAAGGCAGCAUCCACAUGACAGGCGGCGCCGAAGGGAUCCUGCCCCUGAGCUUUCAUGAGCUGUUGAACCAUCUGGAAUUCACAGGCCUGUCAUGAGAGACACGAUGAGAAGUCCUUAAAGGUAGAUCACUGAUUCACAGGGGAGCAGGCGGAGGCAAGGGCACCAAAUCAUCCUCAUGCACCUACUAUGCUGCGUGUCAACCGGAACAUACAAAUAAUUUCCACCCCCUCCUCACCCAUAAGAAGCUGGCAGAAAGGCAAGAUCCAGCCUCCAAAGUAGAAUUCCUCUUUGUUUUUGAGGGGUGUUGCAGGCUUGAGGAACCCCUUGUUUGCCCAUCUGGCUUCCGGUAACCAGGCUGUCAGCAGAAAUGAAACCCACCCUUGGAAUGAAGACUGGCCACUUUGUUCAAGCCACUGAGGACACUGUACUGUGGCCCCCUGACAGUGCCUGUCUGUAGGGACAGCUAGAUCCUGCUGGUCCCUUCACAGUCCCAGCAGUGGCUGAUUCACAAUGGUGACUGGUAGAUCUGUUGGGUCGUUGUUGAGCUGAUGGUAACUAGCUCCUUUAUUAAAGUAAUUUCCAAGGGAGAAACUGCAAGAGACGGCCUAAGCUGCGGCAGCUUCCAAGGAUGAGCUUUUCUGGACCUCAGGUUUGGGGGGAACCCGAGACCAUUUGAAUGCCAGAGAUGUGAUGUGUUUGGUAAUGUCGUGUCUCACAAGCUCCUUUUGUAUUUCCCAUGGGCAGAUCAGGUCGGAUCUUGACUUUUUCCAGAACCUGGCUUGGCUGGUUUGGGUUGUGUAUGAAUGAGCUGGCUCGCUGGGUGUGUGAGGGGAGGUGAAGCUGGGACUAGACAAGCCAGGGCUCGUUAGCAAGUUUCUGCUGUGUCAGGAAUCCCAGAGAGAGGUUUCCCAAGCCCUAUCCUGUCUUGCCUGGGUUGUUUGGUUUUUCUCCUUCUUUUUUUUUUUUUCAUUGAAGUGUAAUUGACAUGUAGUAAAA